GGCCUGGAAUAACACGAGGAAACUUGUGCUAAUACUGGAUAAGUCUUUACGGAGAAAGCUUUAUGCACCAUUGGAUGAGCCUGCACUUGAUUAGUUUGUUGGUGGGGUAAUGGCCUACCAAGACUUUGAUCAAUAGCUGAUUUGAGAGGAUGAUCAGCCACAUUGGGACUGAGACACGGCCCAAACUCCUACGGGAGGCAGCAGUGGGGAAUCUUGCACAAUGGAGGAAACUCUGAUGCAGCGAUGCCGCGUGAGUGAAGAAGGCCCUUGGGUUGUAAAGCUCUUUCGUCGGGGAAGAAAAUGACUGUACCCGAAUAAGAAGGUCCGGCUAACUUCGUGCCAGCAGCCGCGGUAAUACGAAGGGACCUAGCGUAGUUCGGAAUUACUGGGCUUAAAGAGUUCGUAGGUGGUUGAAAAAGUUGGUGGUGAAAUCCCAGAGCUUAACUCUGGAACUGCCAUCAAAACUUUUCAGCUAGAGUUUGAUAGAGGAAAGCAGAAUUUCUAGUGUAGAGGUGAAAUUCGUAGAUAUUAGAAAGAAUACCAAUUGCGAAGGCAGCUUUCUGGAUCAAUACUGACACUGAGGAACGAAAGCAUGGGUAGCGAAGAGGAUUAGAUACCCUCGUAGUCCAUGCCGUAAACGAUGUGUGUUAGACGUUGGAAAUUUAUUUUCAGUGUCGCAGCGAAAGCGAUAAACACACCGCCUGGGGAGUACGACCGCAAGGUUAAAACUCAAAUGAAUUGACGGGGACCCGCACAAGUAGUGGAGCAUGUGGUUUAAUUCGAAGAUACGCGCAGAACCUUACCAACACUUGACAUGUUCGUCGCGACUUUAAGAGAUUAAAGUUUUCGGUUCGGCCGGACGAAACACAGGUGCUGCAUGGCUGUCGUCAGCUCGUGUCGUGAGAUGUUGGGUUAAGUCCCGCAACGAGCGCAACCCUCACUUUUAGUUGCCAUCAUUUAGUUGGGCACUCUGAAAGAACUGCCAGUGAUAAGCUGGAGGAAGGUGGGGAUGACGUCAAGUCCUCAUGGCCCUUACGUGUUGGGCUACACACGUGCUACAAUGGUAUUUACAACAGGAAGCAAGACGGCGACGUUUAGCAAAUCCUUAAAAAAUACCUCAGUUCGGAUUGCACUCUGCAACUCGAGUGCAUGAAGCUGGAAUUACUAGUAAUCGUGGAUCAGCGUGCCACGGUGAAUGCGUUCCCGGGUCUUGUACACACCGCCCGUCACACCAUGGGAGUUGGUUCUACCUUAAGGCAAGGUUUAAAACCCUUGACCACGGUAUAGUCAGCGACUGGGGUGAAGUCAUAACAAGGUAGCCGUA
rnacentral:rRNA from 1 species